AUUGAACGCUGGCGGCAGGCCUAACACAUGCAAGUCGAGCGGCUGAAGGGUGAUUGCUCGUUGUUACAGGGGCGGAGGGGUGAGUAAUGGCUAGGAAUAUCCCUGGCUGUGGGUGAUUACGGCAGGACACGGGGGCAAAUACCGCAUAAGUCCAGAGGGCCAACGUGUGGGAGCAUCGGAUCUUCCGACCUCAGACGAGUCUAGGUCGGAUUAGCUAGUUGGUGGGGUAAAGGCCUACCAAGGCGACGAUCCGUAACUGGUCUGAGAGGAUGAUCAGUCACACUGGAACUGAGACACGGUCCAGACUCCUACGGGAGGCAGCAGUGGGGAAUAUUGGACAAUGGGCGAAAGCCUGAUCCAGCCAUGCCGCGUGGGUGAAGAAGGUCUUCGGAUUGUAAAGCACUUUUGGUGGGGAGGAAAAGCAGUAGGUUAAUACCCUGCUGUUUUGACGUUACCAACAGAAUAAGCACCGGCUAACUUCGUG
rnacentral:rRNA from 1 species